rnacentral:rRNA from 1 species
UACGUAGGGUGCAAGCGUUGUCCGGAAUCAUUGGGCGUAAAGAGCGUGUAGGCGGCCCGGUAAGUCGGUUGUGAAAGUCAAGGGCUCAACCCUUGAAUGCCGACCGAUACUGUCGGGCUAGAGUCCGGAAGAGGCGAGUGGAAUUCCUGGUGUAGCGGUGAAAUGCGCAGAUAUCAGGAGGAACACCGAUGGCGAAGGCAGCUCGCUGGGACGGUACUGACGCUGAGACGCGAAAGCGUGGGGAGCAAACAGG